rnacentral:lncRNA from 1 species
AUGGAGUAUGUGAGAUUUUUAAAAUAUCGUUUGUUUCUUAGACUGCUGGAGAAAGGACACUGCAAGGGACGAAGUGACUCUGCUAUCACACAGCUCAAACUGCUUCAAAGGUCUGCCCAGUGUGAUCACUCACAAUCAGUUUGUGGCCUUCCUCUGAAGGAACCUUUCCUGUCUCUUCUACACAGCCUCUCUCUGUUCCCUGCCCCAAUGAACGUCUGCACUAGGUCCAAGGCUUGGAGUAAUUUACCUGAAGAGUGAUACCAUUUGGAAACCACUGCCUCGAGUCAUCUCUAAUUUGGACAGAAGUUACUUUAGGCCAUUACAAUUUGGUAAAUUUUGGCUGGAUUACAUAGGUAAAGUUGCCUGAGAUUCUAAGACAAUUUUGACUUUGCAUUGUGGUUCUAUUAUGCUCUGAAAGGAUCAAUUGUGUGUUAUUUGCACCGCUUUUUUUCCCGUGUAGAUCUCGUAGUUUUGAUUUGUUAUGAUCAAUUCCCAGCGCUUGCCAGUAUUGUGGCAGUGUUGCUGUAGCCAAGAUGCUCUGAGGUUGUAAGUGAGGCAGGUUUCAUAGGCAGGGAGUAACUUUUAUGAGGUUUGUGGUUUAGAUGGAAAAAAUGGAUAAAUUUGGGGGCAUAUCAGCCCCAUUUCAGGUCUGAAACAGACCCAGCAAAUUUCAAUCUAAGUUGAACUUAAUCUCUGAGUUUAACUUGAUUAUGUUAAUCAGUCUCCUGUAAGGGAUUUUGGAGUUUAUUUUACUUUUCUGCGUUGAUUAAAUUUUCCAAGCUUUUAUUGCACAAGAACAUUGGGCCUCUCUUGUCAGCUCUCCAUGCCUCCCAUUCUUGUUCUGCAGUAUUCUGCUGGGAUUUCUCUUUCAUAUUACAUUUUAUGGCGAUGUUUUCAGGAGUUUGUGUUUUCUAUUGUAUGAUACAAACUUGCAAUCAGAGAUUUUAAACAAACUGCC